rnacentral:tRNA from 1 species
GGAGCGUGAAGCGGCAGGGUGCCGCGUGUCAUUGCCAACGACAGCGGUCGGGGCAGCUCCUCGGCUGGGGUUCGAGUCCCCCGCGCUCCG